UACAGAGGUCCCAAGCGUUGUUCGGAUUCACUGGGCGUAAAGGGUGCGUAGGCGGUCGGGUAAGUCUGAUGUGAAAUCUCACAGCUUAACUGUGAAACUGCAUUGGAUACUAUCCGGCUCGAGGAAUGGAGGGGAGACUGGAAUACUUGGUGUAGCAGUGAAAUGCGUAGAUAUCAAGUGGAACACCAGUGGCGAAGGCGAGUCUCUGGGCAUGUCCUGACGCUGAGGAGCGAAAGUGUGGGGAGCGAACAGG
rnacentral:rRNA from 1 species